ACUAAAUCCAGGCCACAAAGCUGAUGCUGACAGGGUGACCUGAAGAGAAUUUAAGAUGUGAGGUUAGAAAACACACACGAGAGAAAAAGAAGGUCAAGAAAAUCACUGAAAUCGCAGGGCUGACAACUUGCGCUCAACUUCAUAAUUGUACACAUAAAAUGGAGAUUCAGUUUUCUUUAAGGAUGUGGCCCCUGUACGGGUUGAUCAAGCUCCAAUACAAGUCUGCACAUCCAAGCCUACAUGUGAAGCACCACUUGGACUCAACAGGUUUUAAAAAUUAAAGAAGACACAAAGUUGGAUGAAUAUGGGAGUAGAGACAGAUCUGGGAGAAACUGAGAGAGGGAAGUUAAAGAUGAUCAUAAUAUAUUGUACAAAAUUAUCACAUAACUAAUAAA